GCAGCAGCGGGCAGGUGUUUGCACCAGGGGCUUCAGGACUGCAGCCGAGGCAUCUGUCACGCAGUUCAAAGAGGGCUGAAGGCACAUAAAAGCUGCAAAGGUAUAAGAAUGACCAAUUAUAUCACACUAGCAAUUCUUUUGGCCCAGUCAGCUCCACUAUCACACAAGUAUUAGUCAUCUAAUCAACACACACAAAACACUGGAAGAACCCAGCAGGCCAAGCAGCAUCUAUGGAAAAGAAUACAGUUGACAUUUCGGGCUGAAACCUGAGAAAAAAAAUUAGUCAUCUCUUGACCCUGAAUAAAGACGAUUUCGCCUUGCCCCUCCUCCUCAGUCCGGGUGCAGACACUCAGCAUGGAGGUCACGUUUUACUGCGAAUAAAAGCCUUCCAUU